rnacentral:rRNA from 1 species
CCCUUAGAUGUUCUGGGCCGCACGCGUGCUACACUGAGUGGAUCAGCGGGUCAGGUUGCGCGAAAGUGUUUCCUAAUCUUGAAAUCCGCUCGUGAUGGGGAUUGACGGUUGCAAUUUUCCGUCAUGAACGAGGAAUACCUUGUAAGCGCGGGUCAUCAUCCCGCGCUGAAUACGUCCCUGCCCUUUGUACACACCGCCCGUCGCUCCUACCGAUUGAGUGGUCCGGUGAGGCUUUGGGAUCUGAGCAAAGAGAGCGUUUCGCUCGUUUUGCCCAGAAAACUCAGUCGAACCUUAUCAUUUAGAGGAAGGAGAAGUCGUAACA